rnacentral:rRNA from 1 species
AAAUAGAUACCCUGGUAGUCCACGCCGUAAACGAUGGAUGCUAGCUGUAUGCCGUAUCGACCCGGUAUGUAGCGAAGCUAACGCGUUAAGCAUCCCGCCUGGGGAGUACGGUCGCAAGAUUAAAACUCAAAGGAAUUGACGGGGACCCGCACAAGCGGUGGAGCAUGUUCUUUAAUUCGACGAUAACCGAAGAACCUUACCUGGACUUGACAUCCUGCGAAGGUCUCCGAAAGGAGAUUGUGCCUUCGGGAACGCAGUGACAGGUGCUGCAUGGCCGUCGUCAGCUCGUGUCGUGAGAUGUUGGGUUAAGUCCCGCAACGAGCGCAACCCUUAUGGUUAGUUGUAUUUUUCUAGCCAGACUGCCCCGGUAACGGGGAGGAAGGAGGGGAUGAUGUCAGGUCUUAUUGCCCUUACGUCCAGGGCUAGAAACGUGCUACAAUGGCCGGUACAAUGGGCAGCCAACCCGCGAGGGGAGCAAAUCUCAUCAAAGCCGGUCCCAGUUCGGAUUGCAGGCUGAAACUCGCUGCAUGAAGUCGGAAUCGC